GGGGAAUAUUGCACAAUGGGGGAAACCCUGAUGCAGCGACGCCGCGUGAGUGAAGAAGUAUUUCGGUAUGUAAAGCUCUAUCAGCAGGGACGAUAAUGACGGUACCUGACUAAGAAGCCCCGGCUAACUACGUGCCAGCAGCCGCGGUAAUACGUAGGGGGCAAGCGUUAUCCGGAUUUACUGGGUGUAAAGGGAGCGUAGACGGUGAUGUAAGUCAGAUGUGAAAACCCAGGGCUCAACCCUGGGACUGCAUUUGAAACUAUGUUACUAGAGUGCAGGAGAGGUAAGUGGAAUUCCUAGUGUAGCGGUGAAAUGCGUAGAUAUUAGGAGGAACACCAGUGGGGAAGGCGGCUUACUGGACUGUAACUGACGUUGAGGCUCGAAAGCGUGGGGAGCAAAC
rnacentral:rRNA from 1 species